ACUGUACACUCAACACACUGAUUCUGAAGAACAACUGUAUCACAGAAGGAGGUUGUCAUGUUCUGGCUGCAGCUCUAAAUUCAAACCCUUCAAAUCUGACAGAGCUGGAUCUGAGUGAGAAUAAACUAGGGAACCCAGGAAUGAAGAUCAUCUUGACUCUGUUUGAAAAUGUCCAGUGUAGACUGCAAAAGCUGAAGUUAAACUGCAUCAGUAUUACAGAUGAAGGUUGUGCUGCUCUGGCAUCAGCGUUUAAUUCAAACCUCAGAGAGCUGGAUCUGAGCAGGAAUCGAAUAGGAGACUCUGGAGUGACCGAAAUCUCCAGUCUGCUGAGAAAUUCACAGACACUACAGAU